GACGAACGCUGGCGGCGUGCUUAACACAUGCAAGUCGAGCGGUAAGGCCCUUCGGGGUACACGAGCGGCGAACGGGUGAGUAACACGUGAGCAAUCUGCCCUUCACUCUGGGAUAGCCUCGGGAAACUGAGAUUAAUACCGGAUACGACCACUUCAGGCAUCUGAUGGUGGUGGAAAGUUCCGGCGGUGAAGGAUGAGCUCGCGGCCUAUCAGCUUGUUGGCGGGGUAAUGGCCCACCAAGGCUUCGACGGGUAGCCGGCCUGAGAGGGUGACCGGCCACACUGGGACUGAGACACGGCCCAGACUCCUACGGGAGGCAGCAGUGGGGAAUAUUGGACAAUGGGCGAAAGCCUGAUCCAGCAACGCCGCGUGAGGGAUGACGGCCUUCGGGUUGUAAACCUCUUUCAGCAGGGACGAAGCGCAAGUGACGGUACCUGCAGAAGAAGCACCGGCCAACUACGUGCCAGCAGCCGCAGUAACAC
rnacentral:rRNA from 1 species